AAAGUCACCGUUUUGUCUAUUUCAUUGAUGUUGUAUCUGAGCGAACUCGUCCUAGAGCUUUUGAGAUCCAGGCUUCAAACUCAGUCAGCACAGUCUUGAGGCUUUGAGGGUCAAAAGUUAUCAAAGGAAUUUUCCUAUGUCAAAGCAUGUGGGCGUGCCCAAGCCUCAAAUCUGACCAUUCGCCAUGAAAUCUCAAGAU